rnacentral:rRNA from 1 species
UAAGUGAUUAAGCGUACAAGGUGGAUGCCUUGGCAAUCAGAGGCGAAGAAGGACGUGCUAAUCUGCGAAAAGCUUGGAUGAGUCGAUAAGAGGCGUUUAAUCCAAGAUAUCCGAAUGGGGAAACCCAGUAGAUGAAGAAUCUACUAUCAACAAGUGAAUUCAUAGCUUGUUGAGGCAAACCGGGAGAACUGAAACAUCUAAGUACCCCGAGGAAAAGAAAUCAACCGAGAUUUCGUCAGUAGCGGCGAGCGAAAGCGAAAGAGCCAGUAAGUGAUAGCAGUAUAGUGAGGAGAAUGUGUUGGGAAGCACAAUCAAAGAGGGUGAUAAUCCCGUAUCUAAAAACCAUAUUGUGGUACUAAGCUAACGAGAAGUAGGGCGGGACACGUGAUAUCCUGUUUGAAGAAGGGGGGACCAUCCUCCAAGGCUAAAUACUCCUGAUUGACCGAUAGUGAACCAGUACUGUGAAGGAAAGGCGAAAAGAACCCCGGUGAGGGGAGUGAAAUAGAACCUGAAACCUUGUACGUACAAGCAGUGGGAGCCCCAUCACUUAAUCCGAUUGGAAGGUGAUGAAAAGCAACCGCACUUAAACAAUGGUAAGAGGAGCGAAGCGAGUCAAACCACCCAAAAGAAGCAGUGGGAUUAAGUGAUGGGGUGACUGCGUACCUUUUGUAUAAUGGGUCAGCGACUUAUAUUUUGUAGCGAGGUUAACCGAAUAGGGGAGCCGAAGGGAAACCGAGUCUUAACUGGGCGAAUAGUUGCAAGGUAUAGACCCGAAACCCGGUGAUCUAGCCAUGGGCAGGUUGAAGGUUGGGUAACACUAACUGGAGGACCGAACCGACUAAUGUUGAAAAAUUAGCGGAUGACUUGUGGCUGGGGGUGAAAGGCCAAUCAAACCGGGAGAUAGCUGGUUCUCCCCGAAAUCUAUUUAGGUAGAGCCUUGAGGUGACACCUUUGGGGGUAGAGCACUGUUUCGGCUAGGGGGCCAUCCCGGCUUACCAACCCGAUGCAAACUACGAAUACCAAAGAGUGAUACUCAGGAGACACACGGCGGGUGCUAACGUCCGUCGUGGAGAGGGAAACAACCCAGACCGCCAGCUAAGGUCCCCAAGUCUAUAUUAAGUGGGAAACGAAGUGGGAAGGCUUAGACAGCUAGGAUGUUGGCUUAGAAGCAGCCAUCAUUUAAAGAAAGCGUAAUAGCUCACUAGUCGAGUCGGCCUGCGCGGAAGAUGUAACGGGGCUGAAAUAUAGCACCGAAGCUGCGGCAUCAGAAUUUAUUCUGUUGGGUAGGGGAGCGUUGUGUAAGCGGAAGAAGGUUCAUCGAGAGGUGGGCUGGACGUAUCACAAGUGCGAAUGCUGACAUAAGUAACGAUAAAACGGGUGAAAAACCCGUUCGCCGGAAGACCAAGGGUUCCUGUCCAACGUUAAUCGGGGCAGGGUGAGUCGGCUCCUAAGGCGAGGCUGAAAAGCGUAGUCGAUGGGAAACAGGUUAAUAUUCCUGUACUUGGUAAAGCUGCGAUGUGGGGACGGAGUAGGUUAGGUUAUCGCACUGUUGGAUAUGUGCGUUUAAGUUGGUAGGUGGGAAGUUUAGGCAAAUCCGGGCUUCCUUAACACAGAGAGAUGAUGACGAGGCUCUACGGAGCUGAAGUAACUGAUACCACACUUCCAGGAAAAGCCACUAAGCGAAAGGCUUUACUAAACCGUACUGAAAACCGACACAGGUGGUCAGGUAGAGAAUACUCAGGCGCUUGAGAGAACUCGGGUGAAGGAACUAGGCAAAAUAGCACCGUAACUUCGGGAGAAGGUGCGCCGGCGUAGAUUGUAAGGGCUAGCCCCUGAAGGUUGAACCGGUCGAAGAUACCAGCUGGCUGCAACUGUUUAUUAAAAACACAGCACUCUGCAAACACGAAAGUGGACGUAUAGGGUGUGAUGCCUGCCCGGUGCUGGAAGGUUAAUUGAUGGUGUAAUCGCAAGAGAAGCACCUGAUCGAAGCCCCAGUAAACGGCGGCCGUAACUAUAACGGUCCUAAGGUAGCGAAAUUCCUUGUCGGGUAAGUUCCGACCUGCACGAAUGGCAUAAUGAUGGCCAGGCUGUCUCCACCCGAGACUCAGUGAAAUUGAAAUCGCCGUGAAGAUGCGGUGUACCCGCGGCUAGACGGAAAGACCCCGUGAACCUUUACUAUAGCUUGACACUGAACAUUGAAUUUUGAUGUGUAGGAUAGGUGGGAGCCUUUGAAGCAGUGACGCCAGUCAUUGUGGAGGCGACCUUGAAAUACCACCCUUUAACGUUUGAUGUUCUAACGAAGAUGACGAAACGUGGUCUCGGACAGUGUCUGGUGGGUAGUUUGACUGGGGCGGUCUCCUCCCAAAGCGUAACGGAGGAGCACGAAGGUUUGCUAAUCACGGUCGGACAUCGUGAGGUUAGUGCAAUGGUAUAAGCAAGCUUAACUGCGAGACAGACAAGUCGAGCAGGUACGAAAGUAGGUCAUAGUGAUCCGGUGGUUCUGAAUGGAAGGGCCAUCGCUCAACGGAUAAAAGGUACUCCGGGGAUAACAGGCUGAUACCGCCCAAGAGUUCAUAUCGACGGCGGUGUUUGGCACCUCGAUGUCGGCUCAUCACAUCCUGGGGCUGAAGUAGGUCCCAAGGGUAUGGCUGUUCGCCAUUUAAAGUGGUACGCGAGCUGGGUUUAGAACGUCGUGAGACAGUUCGGUCCCUAUCUGCCGUGGGCGUAGGAGAAUUGGUUGGGGCUGCUCCUAGUACGAGAGGACCGGAGUGGACGCACCACUGGUGUUCCGGUUGUGUCGCCAGACGCAUUGCCGGGUAGCUAAGUGCGGAAGAGAUAAGUGCUGAAAGCAUCUAAGCACGAAACUUGCCAAGAGAUGAGUUCUCCCAAUCAAAGAGAUUGUAAGGGUUGUUGUAGACUACGACGUAGAUAGGUCUGGUGUGUAAGUGUAGUGAUACAUUGAGCUAACAGAUACUAAUUGCCCGAGAGGCUUAACUA